rnacentral:lncRNA from 1 species
CUAAAUCCAUUUUCUUGAUGAACCGCAAAUGAAACCCUAAGCCUAAAUAAAUAUUCUAUUUGAUCCUUUAUUUCUUAGCCCUUGCACGGAUUUAAACGUCUGACCAUUGAUAUUGAUGGAUUAGGUAGAUAUAUCAUGGUGGUUUCAAAAGAAAAAAAAAGAGUGAAUUAAGGAAUUGUAUGGUAUAGUCGGUAUAAGAUUUCUUGAGCUUGUAGAAAAUUAAGGCAAAAUUCCAAUCGAGGAAAUAUCGAUG